GAUGAAGAACGUAGCGAAAUGCGAUACGUAAUGUGAAUUGCAAAUUCAGUGAAUCAUCGAGUCUUUGAACGCACAUUGCGCCCCCUGGUAUUCCGGGGGGCAUGCCUGUCCGAGCGUCAUUGCUGCCCCAAGCACGGCUUGUGUGUUGGGCCCCGUCCUCCGAUCCCGGGGGACGGGCCCGAAAGGCAGCGGCGGCACCGCGUCCGGUCCUCGAGCGUAUGGGGCUUUGUCACCCGCUCUGUAGGCCCGGCCGGCGCUUGCCGAUCAACCCAAAUUUUUAUCCAGGUUGACCUCGGAUCAGGUAGGGAUACCCGCUGAACUUAAGCAUAUCAAUAAGCGGAGGA
rnacentral:misc_RNA from 1 species